UUCUUGCCUACAGCCCACGAAUGCAGCCUCCCACUGCUGCCCAGGCUGGCCCUACUGGGUGCUGGCAUCCCAGUGCCAUGGUGACCCACAGACACACAGGUAACCCGCUGGCACGGCUCACGUGCUCUGGGCACACGAGCUGGGAACUGCUUUUCUUCACACGCUGCAUCAGUGUACGAAGGGAAGGCUCGGUGUUAAUCCCCCUGGGAGCUGCCACAGGAGCUGCCUGGUGGGACUGUGGCACCGCAAUUAGAAACAGGUAAUUAGUGAGGGAGCACAGUGGCUCUGCUCUGGCACCCUGGGAGCACAUGUUCCCUUGGGAAGGGAGCAGAGCUGAGCCUGGGCACGAGCUGUGGUUUGGGUGGAGGCAGGAGCUGCAGGACUGGCUGUGUACACUGCUGGUUCCUGUUCCUGGCCCAAGCAGAGCACGGGUUAGUGACCAAGGCAGGAGUCCCAGGAGAUGCCCUGUGGGAGAGGGACAGGGCCCUGUGUGUGCUGUGUCCUGCUGCCACUGUCCUUCCCCUCCUCUCGGAGAGGCUCCAUUGUGCUCCUGCCCAACAAACACACAGGAUGGAGCCGUGGCAGCAGCAGUGAGGUGCCACAGCAGUGCCUCAGAGCAGCACAGCUCUCCUCAGAAAGAGGGAAGCAUCCAAAGGCAGGGACAGCCACGGCUCCGUGAACAGCAAACCGAGUGACCUAAUUCAGCUCUGGGGGCGGCCUCAGCUCCAUGGCGGCCGUGCCCGAGCUGACUCAUCACUUCCAGCCUGGCAGAGAUUGGAGCUUUCAGGCCCUAAGGAUUUUGCUCCUUCCUUAUUAAUUUUAAAUUGAUUAAAGCGAAUUUUCAAAAUACCAGGAGACACUUGCUGAAAGGAAUGGUUAUUAAAAAAAAAGAAGGAAAUAGUUGGUCUGUGGGAGUUAACUCUGUGCUUAAUGACCUCUGGCUCCUGCAGCUGUAAACACCCAUUGCAGCUUGGAGGAGUCUUGUGUCAGCUGUUCUGUCAUGGCAGAUCAGCAAGGACUGGAUUAAUCCAUCUUUAUUGUAAAAAAGUGAGAAUUAUAAACGUCCUUGCUUAUACCCAGCACACCCCCCUGGUGUCCUCAUCCACGGCAGGGUGGUAUUGCAGGCUGCUGCUCUCAGCUACAUGACUUUGUCCAGAAGCUGAGAUCUCCCAGAGAAGUGCAUCCCUGCAGGAGCAUCCUGUUCUUUCCAGCAUUGCUCAGUGCCUGACAAAGCUCCUCAUGUGGUCCCCAGCCCCCCUGGGGUGGCCUGUGGGCUGUCUGUGCUAGAAGGGGCUGCCAGUCCCUGCCUGGCUUCCCGCAGAGGCUGCCAUGGCCAGCAUGGGCAGGACAGAUGGAUGGAGGAUCCUUUCCCUCACUGUCAGAGGGCAGUUCAGAUGAGCUUCUCCCCUGGGCCAUUCUCACCUGCUGUGGCUGCCCCAGCUCUGCCAGGGGGAACUCCCUUACACUUGGAGCAGGAGGAUUUCUGUCCUGAGUGGUUUGUGGUGUGAUUACACAACUCAGGCUCAUGCAGAUAGCUGAGGCUCUUCCCUUCUGCCUGCCCUCUUUCCCACUGGUGGGAGGUGGAUGCAGCCCAGCAGCCCAGGAGUGCCCAUGGACCCACCUAAGGACCCUUCUGUGCUGUGGUGGGCUACAGAGAUAUAGGAACCCCCUUCCUGCAGGCUGCAGAAGCGAGGUCAGAGCUCUCUCCCCAUGGGUGUUUCUCCCUGAGAGCUCAUCCUGGGGCUACCCCCUGUCAGCAUCCCACCUGCUGCUCUGGAGGGGCCGGGGCUGUGCCUGCAGGGUGCACAGGGUCUGGUUCACUGGCAGGGAUGGUGCUCCGUUACUGUGAACGUCAGGGCCAGCUCAGGCAGCAUAAACAGUAGAUUAAUUGAUAAAGCUUUUUGUCCUGCAAGCAAACACCAACAAAUUAAAAAUUAAAAAAAAAAAAAAAAAAGGAAGGUGGAAAACUCUGUGGUACUUCAGAGAAGACAGAGCAGGAAUCCAAGAGGAGUGAAGGAGCAGAAUAUGGAAUUCACCUGGAGAUAAUGAAGCAGCAGAAGUUGUCAGCCCCUUUUAUGUCUGUCUAAAAAAAGAGGCCUUUUAUUUCAGUGAAACCGAAGAAUGAAAAUUAAAAAGCUAAACAAAGCAGAAAAUUUCUGCAAAAAUAAUUUGACACUUGCUAUUGAUUGAAGGAAUGGAGCAGCAGAGUUUAACAAGUUGCAUAAAAGCACCUUUGGUCUGCUUUAAAAAUCUCUCUAAAAGAAACAGUUAUAUCACUCAUAUGCUGUUCACCUGUCUCUUCUCAUCUCUAGAUCUCAAAAGCAGAACUGCUCUAACUCCACGUGCCAAAGCAGAACCUCCUUCUGCUGCCUCUGCCUUGCCCUCAGCAUCCAGCCUUGCCCAUGGUGCAGUACAGCAGAUAUUGCUGUGAGAGCCUGGCUGGUGAGACAGAGUUCCUUCCUGCUCACUCCUGGAGCAUCAGCUGUGUCAGCUGGGGGGGCUGGAGGAGCCCAACUCUUUCCCCAUCCUCUGAGACCAGGAAAUUGAAAGUAAGGAAAUCUCAUCAGGAACAACACCCACGUGCAGGUACCAAGCCCCUGCUGUACCUGAAUUCAAUUGAUGCAAAGAAGCUGAAUUUAAAAUAUGCUACAGAACAAAGCAAGGCCAGCUGGAGGAUUUCCUGCAGGAGAAAGGAAAAGCCUGGGGAGGCAGUGGGCCGGAAUGCUGAGCUGUGACACAUUCCUGCUGGCUGAUUAUGAACCUUUCUGCAGCAAGAUUUGAAACAGCCAGAUUCCAAAUUAAAUCAAAGUCCCUAGGAUUCACUUGUGAUUUCCAGUAAGGCUUCUUUAAGCACAGCUCUGCUGCACACAAGAAAAUCACACCACAGGCUGGAGUGAGCCAGGAAAUCUCGUCCCCAAGUGGCUUUAUGCUCUUCAAAGAUACCUGAAGGAGCCAGAGAAGGUUUCAGGGAACUUCACGUGCCAGGCAGGAGCCGUGAGCCCGAGGUCCCUCCUGUGUGAUGCCCCAGGUGUGUCCCGACAGCAUCGCUGGCCGGUGCUGCCAGAGUCACUUCAGCUGGGAUCUGUGGUACUGCUGAGUCCCUGGCUGCCGAGAGCAGGGAAGGAGAGCUCCAUCUACUGCUGUGCGGGGAGAAGGCAAAAAUAACCGGGCUGGCUUUCCUCUGCUGCACAGAAAGCUGCUGGAUACCAGCAACUCCAGGUACAGACUUCUCAGGAUUUUGCCUGCUAUCCCAGACUAACACUUCAGAAGUGCCACCAAGGAAACUUCUCUGCAAAUCUCUUUCUAUUUCAAAACUUCUUAACUGAAUAAUGUGAGUGGCCAGAUACAUUCCUGCCUGUUGAAACUCACAACAGAAGAAUGUUCAAAAGGAAAAGGAAAAUAUUUGGAAAGUAUUUUUUUUACUAUCACACAGACCUGGAAAUUGUAUCAACUGAGGAGAUACACCAGUUGUUCCUUCAGCUACAUUUUUUGUGCUGGCAACCUGCCCUGCAGUUUCUGGGGCCAGCAAACCUGUGGGACAGAUGCACUCACUGUGUGACUGAGGAUGCUCUCCAGCCCUGCUGUGCCAGCCCUGGGAGCGGGGCCAGUGUGGGGUCUGCUGUUUUCUGGUUGGAGUGCUUUUUAUAGCCUGUAUUAUAAGGAAACCCACACGUGGGGAAAGGAAGAAGGAAUUAAAUGGAAAACAAACCACAGGCCCAGCCGUUAAUCCUUCUGGGGAAAGCAGGGCCUGGGCUGCAUUCUUCAGCAUCCAACCCACUGUGGGACACACCAGUCUGAGCUGGGUCUCUGGGCAGCCAUCGUUCUGGGGGAUCUGCUGCUGCUCUCCCACUGGAGCCUGUUCCUUUGUGCUCUUUCCAUGAGGAGCAGCCACAAUCAUGAGUUAAACGUUGCUGAUAUUAAAGAGGACUCCUGGCAUCUGCCCCGAAUGGAGAAACCAACGUGUCAUUCAUUGAAGAUAUCCAUGCUCGUGCAGGGAACACGUGUGUGCCAGGUGGUGCCAGUUCAGGAUUCCCAGAGGGAGCAGGAGAGGUCCAUCCCUGCUGAAUGCCAGAGCCACCCCAGUCCCAGGGUCCCCCCAGGGUCCUCACUCCUCUCCCUGCAGCCUGGCAGAGAUGCCCCUGGAGCUCUCCCAGCUGAGGCUGCACUGUGACCCCAGACUGCCAAGGAAAGGACAAAACUGAUGUAUCUUGGGGGAGGGAGGGAGGGGUGUGGGCUGAGAUCUGGUGUCUCAAGACCAUUCUUUAGACAGUGCUGAUCCAGACUCUCUUAUUCCCAGCAUUUUUCAAAUUGUGUUAUUUCCUACAGUUUGCAACCACACACGGUAGUCAGAGGUUAUGACACGUAGCUGACUUUAAAGGACACUGUCUGUGACAAAUGCUACGUACAUGUUCUAUAAAUGUUGUUAUACCCUGUAUUUUAUAGCUUUAGGCUGCAAUAAAUGAGGACAAACUA